UCUUUUAUACUAUUUCUGCAUCUCAAUUGCAGCUGCACCUUCAAGAACGCAGCGACGUGUGCAGGGGCCUACACUUGGAAAAAGAGUUAGAAGGUUGAUUGAUGGCAAGGAUGGGACGAGGCUCCCAGUUUAUGUGACAUAGGAAAUGAGAGCUUUUUGCGGGCAAAAUGCAACUAAAGUGGCGAACGAAUUGGGGUCACAAAUUAGGAGGAUGUGUCGCCCUACUGCUGACAGUUUUUGCCACUCGUGGACAAGUGUUCCUUUAGUGCUGCAAGCGCCAUAAUACAAGCCGUACUGGACAAAUUUGAAGUCACCAAAGAUAACGUUGAGUUCACUCCGUUAGUUGAGGAAGUUUUUAAGCAUAAAGCCGGCUUACUCUACAAAGACUGGAAAUGGAGAAUGAGUGAUCAUUACGAAAAGACAAAGGAUCAUUAUGAAAAGAUGAAGGAAGAUGGCAAAAACCCAUAUCAGCUUCCUUUUACCAAAGACAUAAGCCUGGAUGCUUGGAAGUUUAUGAUUGAUCAUAUAUUCAACGAUCCAGAUUGGAAGGUUAUUCAGAUAUUUGUAUGAGUUACAUUUCCAAUUCUAUGCUUAUAUCUAACAAGUUCUUUUUUUCAACCCCGUAAAAUAGCUGGCAAAAAAAUAGAAAUGCUCCAGUAGAUGGUUACUCUGUGGCUUCUCAUGGUCAUACUUUGGGUUCUCGAUCAUUUGUUGAUGCAAUCACCAUUGAGGCAGACAAGCCUAAUGGAAAGGUGCCAGAUUUGUGUGAGAGAUACCAAGCAUCACAUACAUUGAAAAAUGGCGGAUGGAUCGAUCCUCAAUGUGAGGAGAUACAUGCGAGGAUGGUGGCCAAGCGAGACGAGACAUCUCAAUCAGGAUGUCCGCUGACGGACGAAGAACUUUCAAGGAUUUGUCUUGGGGAAGCAAAGUAUUACAUAAGGGGAUUUGGGGUUGGCCCGAGGCCUUCAUCCUUCUCUUCCCAAUCCAGCUCCAACUCAGCACAGCAAAAGUUGCAGAAAGUCCAAUCCGAGAUGGAGUUACUUCGUGCUGAGCGACGAAGAGAACGGGAGGAGUAUGAAAGGCGGUGGAAAGAGGAGCAGAACCGGCGUGACGAGGAGCAAAGACAACGGGAAGAGCAGCAAAGGCAAAAAGAUGAGGAGCUAAGGCUAAGAGAUGAGCAAAGGCAACAUGAAUUUGAUGAACUCAAAGCCAUGAUGAUGAGGCAAAUGCAUGGACAAGACAAUGUGUGAUCGAGGUGAUGGUGGGAAAUAUUUGAUAUUGGAGUAUCUGGCAUCUCGUUUUGGACUAUAUAUGAAGAAAUUGGAUUUUUGCCGUGGAUUCUACCAUAAUCUAGUUUUCUCGUUAUUGAACUUUCCUAUUAUUUUGCGCUCUGGGGCUUGGAUAUGAUAUGUUUGAUGCUAUGUACACUUUUCGUGGUACGAUUUUUUGUUAUUUUGUACUCCGCGAACUAGGAUAUUGUUUAUUAAGUAUUUGGUGAACACCAUUUAUUUAUGGAAGUUAUGAAUGAAUUGUUCUUGAAUUUCAA